GACGAACGCUGGCGGCGUGCCUAAUACAUGCAAGUAGAACGCUGAAGGAGGAGCUUGCUUCUCUGGAUGAGUUGCGAACGGGUGAGUAACGCGUAGGUAACCUGCCUGGUAGCGGGGGAUAACUAUUGGAAACGAUAGCUAAUACCGCAUAAGAGUAGAUGUCGCAUGACAUUUGCUUAAAAGGUGCAAUUGCAUCACUACCAGAUGGACCUGCGUUGUAUUAGCUAGUUGGUGAGGUAACGGCUCACCAAGGCAACGAUACAUAGCCGACCUGAGAGGGUGAUCGGCCACACUGGGACUGAGACACGGCCCAGACUCCUACGGGAGGCAGCAGUAGGGAAUCUUCGGCAAUGGACGGAAGUCUGACCGAGCAACGCCGCGUGAGUGAAGAAGGUUUUCGGAUCGUAAAGCUCUGUUGUAAGAGAAGAACGAGUGUGAGAGUGGAAAGUUCACACUGUGACGGUAUCUUACCAGAAAGAGACGGCUAACUACGUG
rnacentral:rRNA from 1 species